GGGCUGGACCUAUGGCAUAUAUAGGUUCCCAGGCUAGGGGUCAAAUCAGAGCUACAGCUGUUGGCCUAGGCCAUAGCCACAGCAAUGCAGGAUCUGAGCUGCAUCUGCAAUCUACACCACAGUUCAUGGCAACGCCGGAUCCUUAACCCACUCAGCGAGGCCAGGAAUUGAACCCACAACCUCAUGGUUACUAGUCAGAUUCUGCUUCCCCUGUGCCACAACGGGAACUCCUCGUCUCCUUCUUCAUUAUGGGAAUAAUCUAAUUUUUCUUUGAAUUGCUGUUGUUAGGGUUCACUUUCCCUCACAAAAUUAUGAGAGCUUAUCAGUUCUACACCAAAAAUAAAGGUCAUAACACUCACUGAGAACACUGGACCCACAUCCGACUGGAAGAUGAAGUAUAUUCAUUCAUUUAGUAUUCAAGGAAAUGGCAUGUGAGAACCUAACUGAAAGCAUUAAUUAUAAAUUAGCCACAGAUUGGUCACUUGAAAAUUCUGAGGGGAAAAAUGUUUCUUUUCUUGUUUUUAACUGCAGGAGAAUAGAAUCAAAUCUAUUCAGACAAAAGGCUUUUUGAUUACUAUAUAAUUACAAAGCAAUAGUCGUGCAAUAGAAAAUUCACAGGCAAUUCUGGUAUGUAAUUAAACUCUCAAUCUGAAAAGCUGCAACUGGCCAGACUUCAAACUCCCCUAAUGGACCUUUGGCAACUUGUCACGCUGGUAGACAAGCCAGAGGAGAACAAGGAAGAUUCAAGCAGUCUUACCUGAUAGAAGAGGACAGUGCUUUCUUUGAGAAUUCCUAUGGUCAGAAAAGAAAAUACGUGAGCAUAGUUUUCAUGUUACUACCACAAUUCUGGAACUGACUCUUUGUGUUUUUUCAGGGCCGAACCGGCGGCGUAUGAAGGUUCCCAGGCUAGGGGUCUAAUCAGAGCUGUAGCCUCGAGCCUACGCCAGAGCCACAGCAAUGCAGGAUCCAAGCCACAUCUGCAAACUACACCACAGCUCAUGGCGACACCGGAUCCUUAACCCACUGAAUGAGGCCAGGGAUCGAACCCACAACCUCAUGGUUCCUUGCUGGAUUUCUUUCCGCUGUGCCACGACCGGAACUCCCCCGACUCCUCUUUUUAUGUACUAAUACAUGUAAUAUGAAAUCAUGACUCAUGCUAAACACAAGUAAGAACAAGAAUUUAGAACAACUUUAUCGUGUCAUAUUACUGCUCAAGAAUUUUGAUAUAGAUAUUUUUAAAUGCUCAUUUUCACAAAAUACCUUUUUAUAAAAAGAGUAAAAGUUCUAAUAGAACGUUGCUGUGUUCUGCAUUGGGGCUAACCUGGAAAACCACAGUCAUCUAGCAGUCGGUGUACUUUAUAGUGGUUUUUAUUUUAUUUUUAUUUAUUUAUUUUUUGUCUUUUUGCCUUUUCUAGGGCCGCUCCCGUGGCAUAUGGAGGUUCCCAGGCUAGGGGUCGAAUCGGAGCUGUAGCCACCAGCUUACGCCAGAGCCACAGCAAUGCCAGAUCCCAGCCACAUCUGCGACCUACACCACAGCUCACGGCAACACCGGAUCGUUAACCCACUGAGCAAGGGCAGGGAUCGAACCCACAACCUCAUGGUUCCUAGUCAGAUUCAUCAACCACUGUGCCACGGGAACUCCCCAAGACUAUUAAUAGUUUUUAAAAAAUGGUCACGAUGACCACUUAAAGCAACUCAAACAAAACCAAAAUAAUGAAAUACCUGAGUAUUCUAACACAUUUACUGCAUGUUAAUAUUUUGUAAUACAUUUG
ensembl:lncRNA